rnacentral:rRNA from 1 species
GUGAGGAAUAUUGCGCAAUGGAGGCAACUCUGACGCAGCCAUGCCGCGUGCAGGAAGAAGGCGCUACGCGUUGUAAACUGCUUUUAACCGGGAAGAAACCCCAGGACGUGUCCUGGGUUGACGGUACCGGAGGAAUAAGCACCGGCUAACUUCGUGCCAGCAGCCGCGGUAAUACGAAGGGUGCAAGCGUUAUCCGGAUUCAUUGGGUUUAAAGGGUGCGUAGGCGGAGCGUUAAGUCAGUGGUGAAAUCCUGCAGCUUAACUGUAGACUGGCCAUUGAUACUGGCGCUCUUGAGUGCGCUUGAAGUGGGCGGAAUGUGCCGUGUAGCGGUGAAAUGCUUAGAUAUGGCACAGAACACCAAUUGCGAAGGCAGCUCACUAAGGCGAUACUGACGCUGAGGCACGAAAGCGUGGGGAUCGAACAGGAUUAGAAACCCUUGUAGUCC